GGAAAGACGUCAGCUCAGUGGUGGAGCAUCUGCUUUAAUGCAGAAGGUCUCGGGUUCAAUCCUUGGGGUCUCCA